rnacentral:tRNA from 1 species
GCUCCCGUAGCUCAGGUGGAUAGAGCAUCUGCCUCCUAAGCAGAGGGUCGCAGGUUCGAGUCCUGCCGGGAGCG